GCGCACUGCUCAGUAACACGUGGACAACCUGCCCUGAGGACUGGAAUAAUCCCGGGAAACUGGGGGUAAUUCCAGAUAUGUCAGAACUCCUGGAAUGGGUUCUGGCAGAAAGGCUCCGGCGCCUCAGGAUGGGUCUGCGGCCUAUCAGGGUAGUAGUGGGUGUAACGUACCUACUAGCCUACGACGGGUACGGGUUGUGAGAGCAAGAGCCCGGAGAUGGAUUCUGAGACAUGAAUCCAGGCCCUACGGGGUGCAGCAGGCGCGAAAACUUUACAAUGCGGGCAACCGCGAUAAGGGGACCUCGAGUGCUGGGUUACAAACCUGGCUGUUGGGCUGCCUAAAAAGCAGUCUAUAGCAAGGGCCGGGCAAGACCGGUGCCAGCCGCCGCGGUAACACCGGCGGCUCGAGUGGUAACCGCUAUUAUUGGGUCUAAAGGGUCUGUAGCCGGCCGACUAAGUCUCUUGGGAAAUCUGGCAUCUCAAGUGUCAGGCUGCCAGGGGAUACUGGUCGGCUUGGGACCGGGAGAGGUGAGAGGUACCUCGGGGGUAGGGGUGAAAUAUUGUAAUCCUCGAGGGACCACCAGUGGCGAAGGCGUCUCAC
rnacentral:rRNA from 1 species